rnacentral:rRNA from 1 species
GAUGAACGCUGGCGGCGUGCCUAAUACAUGCGAGUCGAGCGAACAGACGAGGAGCUUGCUCCUCUAACGUUAGCGGCGGACGGGUGAGUAACACGUGGAUAACCUACCUAUAAGACUGGGAUAACUUCGGGAAACCGGAGCUAAUACCGGAUAAUAUAUUGAACCGCAUGGUUCAAUAGUGAAAGACGGUUUUGCUGUCACUUAUAGAUGGAUCCGCGCCGCAUUAGCUAGUUGGUAAGGUAACAGCUUACCAAGGCAACGAUGCGUAGCCGACCUGAGAGGGUGAUCGGCCACACUGGAACUGAGACACGGUCCAGACUCCUACGGGAGGCAGCAGUAGGGAAUCUUCCGCAAUGGGCGAAAGCCUGACGGAGCAACGCCGCGUGAGUGAUGAAGGUCUUCGGAUCGUAAAACUCUGUUAUUAGGGAAGAACAAAUGUGUAAGUAACUAUGCACGUCUUGACGGUACCUAAUCAGAAAGCCACGGCUAACUACGUG